rnacentral:rRNA from 1 species
AUUGAACGCUGGCGGCUUGCCUUACACAUGCAAAUCGAACGGUAACGGGCCUUCGGGUGCCGACGAGUGGCGAACGGGUGAGUAAUACAUCGGAACGUGCCCGAUCGUGGGGGAUAACGAGGCGAAAGCUUUGCUAAUACCGCAUACGAUCUACGGAUGAAAGCAGGGGACCGCAAGGCCUUGCGCGGACGGAGCGGCCGAUGGCAGAUUAGGUAGUUGGUGGGAUAAAAGCUUACCAAGCCGACGAUCUGUAGCUGGUCUGAGAGGAUGAUCAGCCACACUGGGACUGAGACACGGCCCAGACUCCUACGGGAGGCAGCAGUGGGGAAUUUUGGACAAUGGGCGCAAGCCUGAUCCAGCCAUGCCGCGUGCAGGAUGAAGGCCUUCGGGUUGUAAACUGAUUUUGUACGGAACGAAAAGCCUUCUUUUAAUACAGGAGGGUCAUGACGGUACCGUAAGAAUAAGCACCGGCUAACUACGUG